GGUGGCUCAGUGGUAGAGUACUUGCCUUGCAUGCAUGAGAUGAUGGGUUCAAUUCCUGUGCACCA
rnacentral:tRNA from 1 species